UAACACAUUAAAAAACAAAAUACUGCAUAGUUUCCUAAGAACGCGAAGCGAGGCGACCAUCUCUGUCGGUGCCAUAAGUAUUCUGGCCGUACUGUGCUGGUCCAGAUCUGUUUUGUCUUCAUCAGUUAGUGUAUUUCCAACCAUGCCAGCACAGAACGGUUCAGUUUGGAUUGUACAGUGGUGUGAAAAAGGUUAGGAUGGAGUCUGCCUUCAUUUCAGCAUGGUAUUGUGCUUUCCCCUCUCAAUACAUGGCUGUAUCUGUAGGGUUUGGGUGGCUGUAGCCGUCCCUCUCAUACCAUAUUCAAUAGGCUUGAAUGGCACAGCUGUUAUAAACCUGCAUUUUGAGUUUUUCCAACAGUUAUCGCUUAUGGAUUGGUUGAUAGGUUGGAUUGGGUGAAACUGACAUGAUUUCCACUGAUGUUUUCCAGGAGAGAUGUCAGCGAUUCGGGCCAAACAGCCAAUGACCAAGGGAAAGCUGGGACAAAGGAGAGGCUCACACAGUGCCAAAGGAACAAAAAGGUUUUGGUCGACAAUAGAGGUGGAUGCAGUUGAAGAUUCCUUGAUGAAUUUUAUCCGAAUGGGAAAAAGGCCUGGAAAACAAGACUGUGAGAAAUGCAUUGCUGCUUCUCCCCAAGCGCUAGUAAACAGGGACUGGAGAGCAGUAAAGUUCUAUGUACACAACAAAAUAGUUGCAGAUCAGAGAUAAUAAGUGUAUAAGAUGCUUCUAUCUUGGUGUACCUCUGAGGAUUUAAUGGGACUUACUUGACUUAAGCUCAUAGGCAGUUGAUGAAUGUCCUCCAUCUCACUCUGUUUGGGGGAAGUUUUCCCAGGUGGGUUGUUCACUUUUGGAGUGACUAAGGUCUCAAGAAUACAAAGCCUGCUGACUUUGAAUGUUACAGAAAAAUAAAAUACAUUUUUCUAAACUA